GACAAAUUCGCCCUUAAAUAAUAUAUGGUGGAAACAUAGUGUUUUCUUUUUUCUUUUCUUCCCUUUUUUUUUAUUUUAUUUUAUUUUAUUUUAUUUUAACUUACAUAAAUUCGGGUCAUGAGGAGUUCCAUGGACUUUCAAAGCCCUGUUAUAUUUUACAUCAGACCUUUAUAUGGGUCUGAACACCCUUAAUUAACUCAUGUG
rnacentral:lncRNA from 1 species